UACGAAGGGGGCUAGCGUUGCUCGGAAUUACUGGGCGUAAAGGGAGCGUAGGCGGAUAGUUUAGUCAGAGGUGAAAGCCCAGGCUCAACCUUGGAAUUGCCUUUGAUACUGGCUAUCUUGAGUACGGAAGAGGUAUGUGGAACUCCGAGUGAUAGAGGUGAAAUUCGUAGAUAUUCGGAAGAACACCAGUGGCGAAGGCGACAUACUGGUCCGUUACUGACGCUGAGGCUCGAAAGCGUGGGGGAGCAAACAGG
rnacentral:rRNA from 1 species